rnacentral:lncRNA from 1 species
AGGAGAACAUGAGACUCCAAACCAGGAGAACAUGAGACCCCAAAAGCAAAGUAAACAACUUGUUCCCAGAAGGAGGGAGUAGCUAACACUGCCAUUGCUGCUGGUGUUCUGGAAAGGCGAUGAUGGCAUAUAUUGAUCAUGGGGUUUGGCAACACUGGUGUGAUGGUGUAUUGACCAUAGAGUUUGGCAACACUGGUGUUGACGGGAUUUCCAAGGACAUUGGGAUGAAAGACAGAUUGAGUGCGUUAAAGAGAGGCCUUAAACUUGGGCCAGUCAACAUCCACAAGUCAUGUGAGGAGCUCUCUAUAAAGGAAACAGAGAAAUGAGAGUGGAUAAAGCAUGAAGGUAGAGUUUUCCUUAAAAUGGAGGAUAUUACAGGCCAGGUGCGGUGACUCACACCUUUAAUCUCAGCACUUUGGGAGGCCGAGGCAGGCAGAUCACCUGAGGUCAGGAGUUUGAGACCAGCCUGGCCAAUAUGGAGAAAUGCCGUCUCUACUAAAAAUACAAAAUUAGCAGGGCAUGGUCGUGGGUGCCUGUAAUCCCAGCUACUUGGAAGGCUGAGGAAGGAGAUUUGCAUGAACCCAGGAGGUGGAGGUUGCAGUGAACCAAGAUCGCACCAUUGCAUUCCAGCCUGGGCGACAAGAGUGAAAAACUCCAUCUCAGAAAAAAAAAAAAAAAAAAGAAGGUGGAGUGGAGACAUUACAGAAUGUUUGUGUGCUGAUUUAGGUCUUUGUCUCCAGACUUUCUACUAUAAUUUGCAUAGAAAAAAUUUUCUACCAGAUAUUCAAAGACACUCUUGAGCUCCAUUUUCCAUUUUAUGACUCCACUCUUUGGUUCUAUUUGGCUGUUCACACCAUUUACUAAGUGGCAUGAGGAGGUCACCGGACGUCAGCCCCCGGAGACUGUCCGACAUCAGCCCCCAGCUCCGGCAGCUCAAGUACUUGGUGGUGGACGAGGCGAUUAAGGAGGAUCUGAAAUGGUCGCGCUCCGUGGAAGAUCUCACCAGCGGGCCCGUGGGGCUCACGUCCAUCGAGGAGCGGAUCCUGCGCAUCACUGGCUACUAUGGCUACCAGCCCUGGGCAGCGAGCUGCAAAAGUCAAGGUCACGGGUCAUAUGGCUGGUCAGUAGAAGAAGCUUGCAUCCUGAUUGCUGGUCCUAUUCUCUUUCCAUUGCCUGCUACUAUCUCUUCUGGACCCUCUUCUUUCUCUUUUGACUUUAUCAUCAGUUAAUGAUUGAACACUGGGCACUUCUAAAAGCAAUGCCAGAGCAGGCAGCUGCCCUAAAGGAGUAUGUCAAGUAAUAGAGGCGACUAGCAAAUAGACAUAGAUAUUGAAAACACAAAUGACAAAAUCGAUAACCACAGCCAUGACAGCUCAACCCAUGCAGAUAUGUAUAUAUGAGUUCUGAGUUCCCAACUAGGUGGAAAGAUGAAGUGUGGAAG